GACGAACCGUGCGAACGUUGUUCGGAAUCACUGGGCUUAAAGGGCGCGUAGGCGGGCUGCCAAGUCAGGGGUGAAAUCCUGCGGCUCAACCGUAGAAGUGCCUUUGAUACUGGUGGCCUUGAGGGAGGUAGGGGCGUGCGGAACUUCCGGUGGAGCGGUGAAAUGCGUAGAUAUCAGGAGGAACACCUGUGGCGAAAGCGGCGCACUGGACCACAACUGACGCUGAGGCGCGAAAGCUAGGGGAGCAAACAGG
rnacentral:rRNA from 1 species